rnacentral:tRNA from 1 species
UGGCUCAGUUGGUAGAACAUGGUGUUUGCAAUGCCAGGGUUGUGGGUUCAAUUCCCAC